rnacentral:rRNA from 1 species
UACGGAGGGGGCUAGCGUUGUUCGGAAUUACUGGGCGUAAAGCGCGCGUAGGCGGACCUGCAAGUCGGGUGUGAAAGCCCUGGGCUCAACCCAGGAAGUGCACUCGAAAACUGCCCAGGCUUGAAUAUGGAAAGAGGGGUCGCGGAAAUUCCCGGGUGUAGAGGUGAAAAUUCGUAGAUAUCGGGGAGGAAACACCAGUGGCGAAGGGCGGCGACCUGGGCCCAAUA